CUGCAUGUUUUGGCCCCAGGCCACGGUUUGCCUCUCUAUUUCUGUAGAGUGGACAAGUGCAAACAUGCUAGAUUAACAUUUGAAACAUAUGGGAGUUAACAGGGCCAGCAGUCUCCAAGGUCAGGCUGAUUUGGUAGUAUAAAACUCCCACAUUC